UGGGGAAUUUUGCACAAUGGGGGAAACCCUGAUGCAGCGACGCCGCGUGAUUUAGAAGGCCUUCGGGUUGUAAAAAUCUUUUCUAUGGGAAGAAAAUGACAGUACCAUAGGAAUAAGGACCGGCUAAUUACGUGCCAGCAGCCGCGGUAAUACGUAAGGUCCGAGCGUUGUCCGGAAUCAUUGGGCGUAAAGGGUACGUAGGCGGGUAAGCAAGUUAGAAGUGAAAUCCUAUAGCUCAACUAUAGUAAGCUUUUAAAACUGCUCAUCUUGGGGUAUGGAAGGGAAAGUGGAAUUCCUAGUGUAGCGGUGAAAUGCGCAGAUAUUAGGAGGAAUACCGGUGGCGAAGGGGACUUUCUGGCCAUAACCUGACGCUGAGGUACGAAAGCGUGGGUAGCAAACAGG
rnacentral:rRNA from 1 species